rnacentral:rRNA from 1 species
AUUGAACGCUGGCGGCAUGCCUUACACAUGCAAGUCGAACGGCAGCACGGGAGCAGUCCUGGUGGCGAGUGGCGAACGGGUGAGUAAUAUAUCGGAACGUGCCCAGUCUGGGGGAUAACGUAGCGAAAGCUACGCUAAUACCGCAUACUAUCUAUGGAUGAAANCGGGGGAUCGCAAGACCUCGCGCGAUUGGAGCGGCCGAUAUCAGAUUAGGUAGUUGGUGAGGUAAAGGCUCACCAAGCCGACGAUCUGUAGCUGGUCUGAGAGGACGACCAGCCACACUGGGACUGAGACACGGCCCAGACUCCUACGGGAGGCAGCAGUGGGGAAUUUUGGACAAUGGGCGCAAGCCUGAUCCAGCAAUGCCGCGUGCAGGAUGAAGGCCUUCGGGUUGUAAACUGCUUUUGUACGGAACGAAACGGUGAGCUCUAAUACAGUUUGCUAAUGACGGUACCGUAAGAAUAAGCACCGGCUAACUACGUG